ensembl:lncRNA
CUCCCAGGAAGAGACCACCAGGUCACAGAGGGCAGGACUGGUGUAAGCCAGUGAGGGCAGUGUAAGAGCUGGCUCACCUGACUCUAGCUCUGUGCCCACCCGGCUUUGGAAGAUAGAAGGCGGGGUGGCAGCAAGAGCAGGGAUGUGCGAGAGGGCAGCCCGGGGGACUGACGCAGAGGCAUCGCUUCAGAAUUAAUCACGACUCACACCUGUUCAGCGCGUGGCAUGCCUUCUGUUCUCUGGUGGUACACGUGAAAUACAGAAUGGCUGAAAAUGUACAUCCUAAGACUGGCAAGACAAUGCGGAUUUCACUGA